GCUCGUAGAUUCGAUCUUGCAACAUUUCGGUUACUAGUCCAACGCUCUAACCACUAGGUUACCUCCCACCCCACGAGGUGCUAAAUAACUAAAAGCAGAUUUACCUACCUGGGUGGUGAUUGAAGGGAUCUCCAGGGUUAGCCAUCCCUGAGUCCGGGUCUGGUAACUGUUACGUCUGAAGGUUAGCCAUCCCUGAGUCCGGGUCUGGUAACUGUUACGUCUGAAGGUUACCAAUGAGGUAACGGGUCUGGUAACUUAUACGUCUGAAGGUUAGCCAUCCCUGAGUCCGGGUCUGGUAACUGUUACGUCUGAAGGUUAGCCAUCCCUGAGUCCGGGUCUGGUAACUUAUACGUCUGAAGGUUAACAAUGAGGUAACGGGUCUGGUAACUUAUACGUCUGAAGGUUAGCCAUCCCUGAGUCCGGGUCUGGUAACUGUUACGUCUGAAGGUUAACAAUGAGGUAACGGGUCUGGUAACUUAUACGUCUGAAGGUUAGCCAUCCCUGAGUCCGGGUCUGGUAACUGUUACGUCUGAAGGUUAACAAUGAGGUAACGGGUCUGGUAACUUAUACGUCUGAAGGUUACCAAUGAGGUAACGGGUCUGGUAACUUAUACGUCUGAAGGUUACCAAUGAGGUAAGGUAUGGCGGAAGUUUAAGCAAGAGGCUCUUUAUAGCCAAAAAGAGUGCAAUGCAUCGAUCUACGAGACUUCAAGGGAGGGCCAGCAUACUUUCUGAUACAAAAAACACAUCACUCGUAAUAAAGCGCAAUGCUAUAAUAUAAUAUAAUGCAUUAUAAUAAAACUUUGUCCAAAUGGCUUCAAUACAGUGGCAGCAGCAUUCAUAUAGACGAUAUCACCAUAGUCAUAUAGAUGACAUCACCAUAGUCAUAUAGAUGACAUCAACAUAGUCAAUAACCAGAAUAAAUGCUGACAGAAUGUUUUUGUUUUAUGCUUUUUAGUGAAAAGACAUGGCCUGUUCCUAUAGAAGAUGACUAUUUUAGUUCUUAAUUUCUUAACUAAGUCAUCAAUAUGCUUUUUGAAAGAUCGCUUUUCGUCAAUCCAGAUGCCCAGAUAUUUAUAAGCGGGGACACGGCCAACGAGGGCACCAUCCAAACUACGUAUGAAUAAAUCAUCAGAUACAUCCUUA